GGGGGGGGGGGGGGGGGGGGGGGGGGGGGGGGGGGGGGGGGGGGGGGGGGGGGUGACCCUGUUGACCUUGACCAGCACGC
rnacentral:miRNA from 12 species